rnacentral:lncRNA from 10 species
CCCUGCCCCGCGGGGAGGCGGUUGAGGCCCGGCGAGAAUUCGAGCGCUGCGCGGGCGGGCCAGCAGAGUUGGGGGACCCUGCGCACCCUCCGCAGCUGCUGGCCCGGGUGCUAAGCCCCUCACUGCCCAGGCAGGCGGGGCGCCAGCUGGCCGCUCUGAGUGCGGCGCCCGCCGAGCCUACGCCCACCCGGAACUCGCGCUGGCUCGCGAGCGCCGCGCGCUGCCCGGGUUCCCAUCCGCGCCUCUCCCUCCACACCUCCCAGCAAGCAGAGGGAGCCGGCUCUGGCCUCCGCCAGCCCAGAGAGGCUUCCACAGUGCAGCGGCGGGCUGAAGGGCUCCUCAAGCGCGGCCAGAGUGGACGCCGAGGCCGAGGAGGCGCGGAGAGCGAGCGAGGGCUGCUAGCCCAUGCAAUGGACUCCAUGAAGGUUCUUAUGCUUUAAUGCUUUAUUUUUGUGUGGUUGCCUCCUGCCAGGAGGUGGCGCUUUCCAGAAAGCAUCAGCUAGUAUAGAGAGGGACUAGAGGUGGGCAGGGCUCUAGUACUCCGAAGAUUAUAUGCCCUUUGUCUUCCGCUACCAGGGUGGAUAAGGAAGGACCAUUUGGCAAGGGCAGAGCUAGGCAUGUCUGAGCUCAGACUCUCCUUAGGGGGGUCUUGCUGCAGCUGCUGUGGGGGAUGGGGUGAGAUUCCCAGGUCACUGGAGUUGUGUGCCUAGGAGGAUUAUGGCUGCCUUUGCUGAGUCAUGCCGGUUAUCAGGAAAGUAGGGGAAAGCCAGAAGUCACAGGCUUCACCCAGCUCCCAUACAAAACGAAGGGCCGGUCUCACUCCCACCAUGCCCCCACCAAUAGCUCCGAGUCUGUUUCCAGGUCGAGGGUGUGAUGGGCUUGAAAACUUGCCGCGGGUUACCCACCUCCAGCUGCCAGAGAAAAGGGCUUAGUUCUUCCCCUGCCUGUGGAGUCUGCACACCAGAUUUGAGCCCUCCCUCGAGUUCUGGCCAGGAGACUUCUCACCCUGUUCAAAGUGUUACAAAGUUCAGCUAGAGAUUUCCUUCUCCCUGUGAAGUAUACUCCACGCUCCUUUGAUCACCCACCUGAUGGAUCUCUGUGGUGCCAGGAAGGAAUGUCCCUAGCAAGGGGACAUAGCGAGCUCCCAGGGCGUUUCUGCUGCUUCCUCUACCCCUGCAUUUCAGCUCUCAAAAUUGGCUCAGCUCCAGGUUCCUGCUUGAUUUGUGAAACAGCCCAGGAAUAAGGGACAUUCUCCUGGAUCAUUCUGCUUCGUGAGAGGAUGAGGGCUCAGGAAACCAUUGCACUGCUGUAUCCACUCACAUCAGUGUGAUUGAUUUUCUAGUGACACAGAAGAAUAUGUACUUUACAACUCCAUCCCUCACCUUGGAACUCAAAAUUUACAUGUUGAACAGUAAGUCCCCAAGGUCUUCAUCAUUCAAGCUUUCCUCCUCAACGAUUCUAUUUCUCCAUAAGAGCAGCAAAUUCAGGACAAACACAGUCCUCCUGGAGGCCAGUGCCAUAAUUAAUAAGAAUUAACACAACUUGGAGAGUAGGCUAUUCACUUCCUCUGAAAUGUGCGAACAUAAUUUAAUCUUCUCAGUAAUUUGUGAGAUAGUGUAUUAUUUUCCUGCACUUUUCAGAUGGAGUAUCUAAGACACAGAGUUUCAAUACGUAGGUGAAGUUCACAUCACCAGUAGCAGACUGAACUGGGAUCCAAAGCCAAGCAAUGUCAUCAUCUGUCCUUCAAUGCAUGGUGCUCUGCCACCUCACUGAGAGACUGAGGAUUCCUUUAAAAUAAACUCUAAUGGACACAUCACAUAUACCAUCAUUCCUUCCCUUCUCUGCUGUUUCUCUCAGCUUCUCCCAGUCUUUCUGAAGCUUUCCCCCUACCAUCAGUGAAAUCUCUACCUUGUCAGGUUAUUUGCUUGAUUUCUGCAAAACUCCAUUUUCUCAAAAAGAAACUCACUGGAGCAAAACUUAAAUUCUAAAUGUCACAGCUGUCAAUUAGCAGUGUGACCUUUACUAAGUCAUUCUCCUUCUAUGGGUCUCAGUUUUGCUUUUUUACAGCCUCUAAGAUUGGCUAUAGCCCA